UGCUAUUANGAUCUCAUCUGUUUUUCUGACUUUUAUUUUGGCGGCAACAAUUCCCCUCCUAGGACUUUUUAUAUCAUUUUUUGGAGCUUUUUGCUUGUCGGCUCUGGGCUUAGCAUUUCCAGCAAUAAUGGAAAUUUGUGUUAAUUGGCCCGAUAAUCUCGGUCCAUUUAAGUUAGUUUUAUUAAAAGAUAUUGUAAUAAUAAUUAUUGGUUUAAUAGGACUUUUGGCAGGCAGCUACAGCAGCUUAUCUGAAAUCGUGCUUGAAUUAUCAAAGACAAAAUAAAAGACAAUAUAGAAUAUUAUGUUAUAUUAUAGUAUUUGUUAAGUUUAAUGACAAUGACGGUUUAUGAUUGUUAUUAGCGUUAUUGCUAAAAAUAUAAAAAAGAAACCUUUU